UGUGGGAGGGGGCUUGCCCCCGAUGAAGGUGUGUCAGUCAAAUACCCUUCACUGACGCACUGCCAACGGGGGCAAGCCCCCUCCCACA
rnacentral:misc_RNA from 1 species